rnacentral:rRNA from 1 species
GAGUUGGAUUCUGAGACACGAAUCCAGGCCCUACGGGGCGCAGCAGUCGCGAAAACUUCACACUGGGGGCAACCCCGAUGAGGGAAUUCCUAGUGCUAGGACAUUUGUUCUAGCUUUUCUCAAGCGUAGAUAACUUGAGGAAUAAGGGCUGGGUAAGACGGGUGCCAGCCGCCGCGGUAAUACCUGCAGCCCAAGUGGUGGUCGAUUUUAUUGAGUCUAAAGCGUUCGUAGCCGGUCUGGUAAAUCCUUGGGUAAAUCGGGAAGCUUAACUUUCCGACUUCCGAGGAGACUGCCAGACUUGGGACCGGGAGAGGCUAGAGGUACUUCUGGGGUAGGGGUAAAAUCCUGUAAUCCUAGAAGGACCACCGGUGGCGAAGGCGUCUAGCUAGAACGGAUCCGACGGUGAGGGACGAAGCCCUGGGUCGCAAACGGGAUUAGAUACCCCGGUAGUCCAGGGUGUAAACGCUGCCGACUUGGUGUUGGAGGCCCUUCGGGGGCAUUCAGUGCCGGAGAGAAGUUGUUAAGUCGGCCACUUGGGGAGUACGUCCGCAAGGAUGAAACUUAAAGGAAUUGGCGGGGGAGCACCGCAACGGGAGGAGCGUGCGGUUUAAUUGGAUUCAACACCGGAAAACUCACCAAGGGCGACUGUUACAUGAAAGCCAGGCUAAUGACCUUGCUAGAUUUUCAGAGAGGUGGUGCAUGGCCGUCGUCAGUUCGUACCGUAAGGCGUUCUCUUAAGUGAGAUAACGAACGAGACCCUCACUGAUAAUUGCUACUUCAUUCUCCGGAGUGGAGGCACAUUAUUGGGACCGCUGGCGCUAAGUCAGAGGAAGGAGAGGUCAACGGUAGGUCAGUAUGCCCCGAAUCUCUUGGGCUACACGCGCGCUACAAAGGGCGGGACAAUGGGCUCCGACGCCGAGAGGCGAAGGUAAUCUCGAAACCCGUCCAUAGUUCGGAUUGAG